UACGUAGGGUGCAAGCGUUGUUCGGAUUUAUUGGGCGUAAAGGGUCCGCAGGCGGUUUGAUAAGUCAGGUGUGAAAUCCAACAGCUUAACUGUUGACACGCAUUUGAUACUGUCAGACUAGAGUAUGAGAGGGGUAAGAGGAAUUUCCAGUGUAGGGGUGAAAUCCGUAGAUAUUGGAAAGAACACCGGCCGCGAAGGCGUUUUACUGGCUCAUUACUGACGUUCAGGGACGAAAGCUAGGGGAGCAAACGGG
rnacentral:rRNA from 1 species